AACUUAACAAAAAGCAUGUAAAAUACUGGAGGGAGAGUCGGUUGCAUUGGAGUUCAAAUUCCCUACUGGGGAAGAGAUAGAGGGAGAAGAUGGGUAAUCCUUCCUUCUCCCUCAGAUUCGCCGUAUUUCUCUCGUUUUCCGUCGCAGCUUCAUCUUCUUCUCAAUUCUUCUUCCAAAAAUUAGGCUCACCAUUUUCUUCUACACCUCCAAUCCCUAAAGCCAUGCCCUCCGAUUUGCUCUCCGUCUUAGGUCCCACCAAACAAUCCUCCAAGAUCAAUCCUCUCGUCUCCAGAGAACUCAAAUCCUGCUUCAAAUUCCUUGUCCCCUUCUCUCCUUCAAACACCAAACCUCAGAAUCAACACUCUUACUCUAAUCGGAAACUCGCAUAUAUCAUCCAGUUUAGAAACCAGGGAGAAGAGAAUGAGCUUAUUUGGUGGCCACCUGAACCGGUUCUGGAGUUGGCUCGCCUCGCCCUUGAUUCCGGCGGCGAUCCUGACGUAAUCCACCGAGCUCUGGAUCCUUCAAUCUUGCCUAUUCCUGAUGUUGAAGGAUCAAAAGAAAAUCGAUGUGAGCUCACUAGAACGCCAUAUGGGAGGCGUUUCAUAAGUCAGGAGUUGAAUUCUUAUCUCAAAUUUUUAUUUGAAGUGAUUGCUGCUCGAGGUCGCUCGAUUGGGCUGAAUGUUUCAUUGAAUCGCUAUGAUUUCUUCCAUGGUCACCUUUUCAUUGCCACAAAGACAGGACGACUUGGCAUAUUGUUUCAUGCUAAAGAAUACCCAGCAUAUGACAAAGAAGUAUUUCCAUGCAAUAUGGGAUAUUGUCAAAAAGGUUCUACUGUAACUUAUGAUGAUUCAAUGAAUUUUCGAAACAUUCUCUGGCUUGCUCCAUUUCCAUCCAAUUCCUCUAAAGCUUGGGCGGCACCAGGAGUCCUAGUUGUGCUGGAUGCCCAUCCAGGAGGGAUCAUAUACCGAGAUAUCAUUCCUGAAUAUGUAAAUUUUGCAAGGACCAUAUAUGAAGGUCUUUUACCAGCAUGGUAUUAUUGGGCUGGCAGAUGAUUUUGGAGAUGUUGUUGUUGAUGUUAAUUACUUGAAUGUCGGAGGGAUUGAUCCUAGUUAUGAGAUAUUUAUAUGCUGAAUCAUUCAGGUGGUCAAUGGCAGGUCAUGGUCGAGAUACAAGUUUUAAUCCCUUGGACAUUCUCUUGAAGACGGUGUAUUUCUCUUUUAAAAGUUGCAUUACCAGUUCGGCUUUCAUCCGUACCUAAUUGCAAUUCCAAGAAUACAUAAUAACUAAGGUGUUUUCUGCCGGUGAUGAUUAUACGAUGGACCACAGGGUAGACUAUUGAUUGAAGAACGAGAAACAAAGAAAAAUCAGGUAUCGACCACAGCAGUGAAGGUUUCUCGUUCUUCAAUCAAUAGUCAUCAGCAUUGAAAGCAUUCUAUGUUGAUUACUGAGUGCAAUUCUAUUGAUUGAAACCUUCACAGCUGCGAGGAUGCAUUCUAUGCUGAUUACUAUUUGAUUGAAGAACGAGAAAAAAGAAAAAUCAGGGUAUGCCGUCUGCAUGAAACUAUGCAUAAAAAGAAAGGUAUUGCUUUUGGAGCGAACAAAAUGUAACACUGCUGAAAAGCGCAGCUGCGAGGAUGCAUUCUAUGCUCUGAUUGUACGGUGGAUUCCAAUAAAUUUUUGUGUGGAAGCUAUCUAUCAUAUUAUUGUGUUUUGCGUCUAUAUCAACCAGCUUUGGAUAAGUUUUUUUUUUCUUACCAUGAUUGUCAUUUUAUGUAGUGGAUAUAAAACGGGAGACCGUUAUUGACGUUUUUGAUGCUUACAAUCUUAGGAGGCAUGAUUAAAUGAUUUUACUAGAA